rnacentral:rRNA from 1 species
GUCGAGAGGCUUCGGCAAUGGGGGAAACCCUGACCGAGCGACGCCGCGUGGGCGAUGAAGGCCUUCGGGUUGUAAAGCCCUUUCAGGUGGGAAGAAAGGCUGGACGGUGAAUAAUCUUCCGGCUGUGACGGUACCACCAGAAGAAGCUCCGGCUAACUCCGUGCCAGCAGCCGCGGUAAUACGGGGGGAGCGAGCGUUGUUCGGAUUCAUUGGGCGUAAAGGGCGCGUAGGCGGCCUGGUUAGUCCGACGUGAAAUGUACCGGUUCAACCGGGGCACCGUGUCGGAAACUGCCUGGCUUGAGGCCGAGGGAGGAAGGUGGAAUUCCUGGUGUAGCGGUGAAAUGCGUAGAUAUCAGGAGGAACACCCGUGGCGAAGGCGACCUUCUAUCUCGGAUCUGACGCUGAGGCGCGAAAGCUGGGGGAGCAAACGGGAUUAGAAACCCUUGUAGUCC